AGUCAAUAGAUACCCAGGUAGUCCACGCCGUAAACGAUGAGUACUAGGUGUAGGAGGUAUCGACUCCUUCUGUGCCGCAGUUAACACAAUAAGUACUCCGCCUGGGAAGUACGGUCGCAAGAUUAAAACUCAAAGGAAUUGACGGGGGCCCGCACAAGCAGCGGAGCAUGUGGUUUAANUUCGAAGCAACGCGAAGAACCUUACCUAGACUUGACAUCUCCUGAAUAGUGUAGAGAUACAUGAAGCCCUUAGGGGGCCAGGGAAGACAGGUGGUGCAUGGUUGUCGUCAGCUCGUGUCGUGAGAUGUUGGG
rnacentral:rRNA from 1 species